rnacentral:misc_RNA from 1 species
GGUAGUUCAUCUAUGAUUGGCAAGGAACUUAGCUUAUUUCUUGGAACUUCAACAAAUGGUAGAUUAAACUCAAAUGAAUCUGCACCAGAUCCACUUCUCUCACCAUUUCUUGGUAUUGUAUCCCAUUCACACCCUAAAGGAAGCCAGCAAGAUGAAUCUUCCAAUAGAAGUGCCUAUUCAGAAAGGUAAGCUCCUCACAUGGCAUCAUGAUAUAUUCUAUUUCUGGGAUUCAGACCAAAGCCAUAUUCAGACAUAGGAGUAUUUUUCUUUAUUGAAUUUAUAACCUGCAAUAAAACUAAAUUUUUGUUUCAAGUGUUUCUGGAAUUUUCUAAUGUACCAUACUUCCACUUUUGUUAUCCAUUUCUUCUGAGAUGCCUUAUUUUACGUACUUUGCACUGUUAAGAAUUCUUCUUCUCUCAUCUCUUUUUUCUGUAUUAUCCUUUCGUUUUAGGUUUGGAUCUCUUCAAUUUUUGGUCUUGCUUUACCUUUUCAAUUGCCAGACUUGAUUUAUUACCAUGUAAAACUGUGGGAGGUCAGGAAACCAGUUAAGGAACAGAAAAUCCUGCUGAUUUCUCCUUUACCAUCAAUUUUUAGAUGUAUAAAAACGUCACAUGUCAUCAUUGGCUAGAAUAAUGUUAGUUUCCACAUGUCAGAAAAAUGUUGCUUAUUUUCAUAAAUAUGUGCUUGAGUUAGGUUUGCUGAUAUUUCCGCAACUAAACUACAUGGGGAAAAAAGCAUGUGUAUGGUGCAGUUAUUUCUGUUGCACCGUUCACAUCCUUUCCAUUACAGAGAUUUGAGAACUGAAGUUUAUUUGAUGAGAUAAUUAAAUUCUGAAUUUUGUUUAAAUUUACUCUGAUAGUUAUACUGAUUGGAGUUUUUAAUAUUUGACUAUUUAGAGAUGCUUUAAGAGAUUUGGCAAUGGGAUAGCACUAAUUGCAUUUCUCAUGUGCAGGAGUGAGAUAUCUUCACUUGAUGGAGGUGAUGAGGAGGGCUCUGAAGAGAGAAGGCAGAAAGCCGAAUUUGUUCAACAUUUGGUUGCCUCAACCAUCUUCUAGAGCUUUGUUAUCAUCUCAGGGUGUUGAAGCUUUCCACAUAUGAUGCAAAGGGCUGCAUCACUCUUCGUUCACUACCUAUCACAGACACUGGGGUUUUUAGUACUGGUGCAUGAUUUUAGGAAAGCCAAAUAGUCUCCAUGUUAGGUAUCUUCCUGGAGUGGGAGGCGAAUGGCUAAUAAGUUUGCAAUUGAAUUUGAACACAUCUUGUAUUUAAUGUCUCUAC